GCAUUUUCCCAACAUCUUUCAGGUGGAGCAAUCUCGCACCUCAAGCGUCCUUGCUCCAAGAUUUGACGGCUCAAUUUUUUUUCCGUUCAAGUUUCUUGAAGAAAUCAAUGAUGCGAAAAGCAUCAAAGGAUAUUCCUUAUCUCUUGGGAUGUUUUGGAUUUCGAAUUGAAAUCCCAAAAAAAUUUCUCCCUCCCGUUUCCGAUCAUUUUUUCCCUCAUUCUCAUCUAUAAAUACUGCUCUUCUUCUCUAUUGUUGGGGUUUUUUUUUCUGAAAACUUUUUUUAGUGACAUUCAGAAAUUAGCUACAAUACUACAUAGAAAUAUACAUAGAAAAUACAUAAAUUUUGAGGUAAAAAGGACCCGAAUCAGACAAGUUAUAUAAAGGAUACUCAACUUCCUCUCUCUGUUUUCGUGGUUUCAUUUUGGUGGAAGAAUCGUCUUCGUGUUAAGCUCGUCGUCUCGGGUCGCUGCCCACAACAAGAAAGGAAAAUUGGAUGAAAAUGACUGUAAACAAAAUAAUACUUAGCAACCAUCCAAACAAGUUGUUGAUGAAGAUGGAGAUACCGUUGUUCAAAUUUCGACAUACAAUCAUCAUCUGAAACAAAUUUUGAUUGGAGAUGGUGGUGGAAAUCAUUCUUCGCGUCUGGCUCAGUUGCAAUCUACAUAUUCUUCUACUCCGUCAACUAUCUUGUUUUUGAUCUCAAGAGCCUCAGUGGACCUGUUUCGGCUAUGCUAUACUUAGGCUACUCACUUUUAAUGGCGCUUGCUGUUAUGCUAGCAACUGGUGCUAUAGGGUUCUUGACGUCUUUUUCUUUGUGCAUCGUCUCUUCUCUUCCGUUAAAAUAAAUUGAAGAAAGUGACCUGUUUGAGUUCCAUUUUCCAUGCUAUUGAUGAUUAACAUGAAGUUCAGGUGGACACUAAUGUUAACCACUUGCAAGUAUUGCUAGCUUUUAUGGUAGACUACUUUAUUUCAAAUUUGUUGUCAUGUUGUUUCAUAGAUUUUAAAGGAAAUAAGAUUAGUUACUGAGAAAUUAUGAAUGUGUGUGUAGUGUAAGUUUAGUUCUAGCUCUAGGAAUUUGCAAGCACAACAUAUGACUUCUCAGUUAAACAGAAAAACAAUGUGUAAAUAGACUUCCAUUGCUGUGUGAAGUCACAAACUUGGAAAUACAUUAACCAAA